UGAAGUGCUUCGGUACUGAUCCUAGCGGCGGACGGGUGAGUAAUGCUUAGGAAUCUGCCAUUUAGUGGGGGACAACAUUCCGAAAGGAAUGCUAAUACCGCAUACGUCCUACGGGAGAAAGCAGGGGAUCUUCGGACCUUGCGCUAAAUGAUGAGCCUAAGUCGGAUUAGCUAGUUGGUGGGGUAAAGGCCUACCAAGGCGACGAUCUGUAGCGGGUCCGAGAGGAUGAUCCGCCACACUGGGACUGAGACACGGCCCAGACUCCUACGGGAGGCAGCAGUGGGGAAUAUUGGACAAUGGGCGGAAGCCUGAUCCAGCCAUGCCGCGUGUGUGAAGAGGGCCUUUUGGUUGUAAAGCACUUUAAGCGAGGAGGAGGCUACUAGUAUUAAUACUACUGGAUAGUGGACGUUACUCGCAGAAUAAGCACCGGCUAACUCUGUGCCAGCAGCCGCGGUAAUACAGAGGGUGCGAGCGUUAAUCGGAUUUACUGGGCGUAAAGCGUGCGUAGGCGGCUGAUUAAGUCGGAUGUGAAAUCCCCGAGCUUAACUUAGGAAUUGCAUUCGAUACUGGUCAGCUAGAGUAUGGGAGAGGAUGGUAGAAUUCCAGGUGUAGCGGUGAAAUGCGUAGAGAUCUGG
rnacentral:rRNA from 1 species